ACGAAGGAUGCAAGCGUUAUCCGGAUUUAUUGGGUUUAAAGGGUGCGUAGGCGGCCAAUUAAGUCAGUGGUGAAAGCCGAUAGCUUAACUAUCGAAUUGCCAUUGAAACUGGUUGGCUUGAGUACAUUUGUUGUGGGCGGAAUAUGACAUGUAGCGGUGAAAUGCUUAGAGAUGUCAUAGAACACCGAUUGCGAAGGCAGCUCACAAAACUGUAACUGACGCUGAGGCACGAAAGCGUGGGGAUCAAACAGG
rnacentral:rRNA from 1 species